AGUAAUGUAUGGGGAUCUGCCCGAUAGAGGGGGAUAACUACUGGAAACGGUGGCUAAUACCGCAUAAUGUCUACGGACCAAAGCAGGGGCUCUUCGGACCUUGCACUAUCGGAUGAACCCAUAUGGGAUUAGCUAGUAGGUGGGGUAAAGGCUCACCUAGGCGACGAUCUCUAGCCGGUCUGAGAGGAUGAUCAGCCACACUGGGACUGAGACACGGCCCAG
rnacentral:rRNA from 1 species